rnacentral:rRNA from 1 species
AUUGAACGCUGGCGGCGUGCCUAACACAUGCAAGUCGAGCGCUCAGCGGACGGGUGAGUAAUGUCGGGGAAACUGCCUGAUGGAGGGGGAUCACUACUGGAAGCGGUCGCUAAUACCGCAUACCAUCAGAGGUGCCCAGAUGGGAUGAGCAAGUAGGUGGGGUAAAGGCUCACCUAGGCGACGAUCCCUAGCUGGUCUGAGAGGAUGACCAGCCACACGGGAACUGAGACACGGUCCAGACUCCUACGGGAGGCAGCAGUGGGGAAUAUUGCACAAUGGGCGCAAGCCUGAUGCAGCCAUGCCGCGUGUGUGAAGAAGGCCUUCGGGUUGUAAAGCACUUUCAGCGGGGAGGCGUUACCCGCAGAAGAAGCACCGGCUAACUCCGUGCCAACAGCCGCGGUAAUUC